CCUACGGGUGGCAGCAGUGAGGAAUAUUGGUCAAUGGACGAGAGUCUGAACCAGCCAAGUAGCGUGAAGGAUGACUGCCCUAUGGGUUGUAAACUUCUUUUAUAUGGGAAUAAAAUGUUCCACGUGUGGGAUUUUGUAUGUACCAUAUGAAUAAGGAUCGGCUAACUCCGUGCCAGCAGCCGCGGUAAUACGGAGGAUCCGAGCGUUAUCCGGAUUUAUUGGGUUUAAAGGGAGCGUAGGUGGAUUGUUAAGUCAGUUGUGAAAGUUUGCGGCUCAACCGUAAAAUUGCAGUUGAAACUGGCAGUCUUGAGUACGGUAGAGGUGGGCGGAAUUCGUGGUGUAGCGGUGAAAUGCUUAGAUAUCACGAAGAACUCCGAUUGCGAAGGCAGUUCACUGGACUGCAACUGACACUGAGGCUCGAAAGUGUGGGUAUCAAACAGGAUUAGAUACCCUUGUAGUC
rnacentral:rRNA from 1 species